rnacentral:rRNA from 1 species
CCAAUAGCGUAUAUUAAAGUUGUUGCAGUUAAAAAGCUCGUAGUUGAAUUUCGGGACCAUCAUGUCGGUCGUGCCUCGGUACGUACUGGCAUUGUUGGUUUCUCCCUUCUGACGAACCAUGAUGUCAUUUAUUUGGUGUUGUGGGGAAUCAGGACUGUUACUUUGAAAAAAUUAGAGUGUUUAAAGCAGGCGCACGCUUGAAUACAUUAGCAUGGAAUAAUGAAAUAGGACGUUUGAUUCUAUUUUGUUGGUUUCUAGGAUCGACGUAAUGAUUAAUAGGGAUAGUUGGGGGCAUUAGUAUUCAAUUGUCAGAGGUGAGAUUCUUGGAUUUAUUGAAGACUAACUACUGCGAAAGCAUUUGCCAAGGAUGUUUCCAUUAAUCAAGAACGAAAGUUAGGGGAUCGAAGACGAUCAGAUACCGUCGUAGUCUUAACCAUAAACUAUGCCGACUAGGGAUCGGAUGAUGUUAAUUUUUUAAUGACUCAUUCGGCGCCUUACG